GGUUGCGAUCAUACCAGCACUAAUGCACCGGAUCCCAUCAGAACUCCGCAGUUAAGCGUGUUUGGGCGAGAGUAGUACUAGGAUGGUGACCCCCUGGGAAGUCCUCGUGUUGCAACCC
rnacentral:rRNA from 1 species